rnacentral:rRNA from 1 species
UAGUGCCUACGGGGGGCAGCAGUGAGGGAUAUUGGUCAAUGGGGGAAACCCUGAACCAGCAACGCCGCGUGAGGGAAGGCGGUUUUCGGAUUGUAAACCUCUGUCCUCUGUGAAGAUGAUGACGGUAGCAGAGGAGGAAGCUCCGGCUAACUACGUGCCAGCAGCCGCGGUAAUACGUAGGGAGCGAGCGUUGUCCGGAUUUACUGGGUGUAAAGGGAGUGUAGGCGGCCCUGCAAGUCAGAAGUGAAAU